rnacentral:lncRNA from 1 species
CGGUACUGCAUUUUGUGAAUCCGCAACCCACUUUGAUAUCGACUGUUGUUGAUUCGGUAUCGAUUUUUGGGAUUCCGCAACGGAAACGUCGAAUCGAGUUUUUACUAUAAACCUAUCUCCUCAGCAAAGGCUGAUACAAUUACAAAAGAGUGCUACUAAUUUACCAACACUUAUUUAAGCAUUUAGCAACCGCCAGAACUCUACCUCGUUGGCUGCGGUGGCGGAGGAGGAAGAGAGCGAAGGGCUCUUCGUUUAGCAUUUCAGUAGAUUGAGUGAGGGGAGAAGGUUUCUUCUUCUUUUUUUUUUUCCUUUUUUGUUUGUAAUCGGGUUGAAUGAGUUGGGUGGGGUGGGUUGAGUAGAAUAACCUUUUAUUUUUUGUUAGAUUGAGCUUUAUAUUUAGACCUUAGUAGAUUUUUUUUAAAGUUUUGGCAUAAAUAGGACACUUACACAAAAGUGUCCCAAACAUGCGUCCCUACAACCUAAUUCUGUUGUAGUGAAAUAGUUAUAAAUAGUGCAACUUUAUCUUAAAUAUUAUUAGUCUAUUUGUUAGAACUAAAAGCGAAAAGAUCUAGUUCGUCGGGUGCGAAAAUACCAAAAGAGAUCCGAGAAACAGAGAAGAAAAAUAGAGCACACAAUAUUUACGUAGUUGGGCCACCAGCCUAUGUCCACGGACGAAGACGGAGCGGAGAUUUUCAUUAUAAUCAAAAUGGUGUACAAAAUAUACCUCUCUCAUAAAAUUCUGAUCCCAAAAAUACACCUAUAUUCCCUCUCUUAUUUGCCGCACUAAACCAAUGGAAUAAAUGGUAUAUUUAUAAUAGUGGUUAAAUCCUAAUACAACCUUAGUUAGUUAAUUCGCGUUUAA